UAUAUCAAUAUAUAUAUAUAAUAUAAUUUGCAUAAUGACUUAUCAAAGAACAAAAAAUUGUAUUUACGUAGUG
rnacentral:tRNA from 1 species